AGUGAACGCUGGCGGUGUGCUUAACACAUGCAAGUCGAACGUGAAGCCAGAGCUUGCUCUGGUGGAAAGUGGCAGACGGGUGAGUAACGCGUGGGAAUUUACCCAGUGGUACGGAAUAACUUCGGGAAACCGGAGCUAAUACCGUAUACGCCCUUCGGGGGAAAGAUUUAUCGCCAUUGGAUGAGCCCGCGUCGGAUUAGCUUGUUGGUGGGGUAAAAGCCUACCAAGGCGACGAUCCGUAGCUGGUCUGAGAGGAUGAUCAGCCACACUGGGACUGAGACACGGCCCAGACUCCUACGGGAGCAGCAGUGGGGAAUAUUGCACAAUGGGCGCAAGCCUGAUGCAGCCAUGCCGCGUGAGUGAAGAAGGCCCUAGGGUUGUAAAACUCUUUCACCGGUGAAGAUAAUGACGGUAGCCGGAGAAGAAGCCCCGGCCAACUCCGUGCC
rnacentral:rRNA from 1 species